GGCCGGGGACGACCCCGGGCGUUUUCCAGACAGUUCGGAUGGGGACGACCUCA
rnacentral:ncRNA from 1 species